ACGGGUGUAGCUCAGCUGGUAGAGUAGUGGUCUCCAAAACCAUUGGUCGUGGGUUCGAAUCCUACCGCCCGUG
rnacentral:tRNA from 5 species